rnacentral:rRNA from 1 species
CUACGGGCCGCACCAGGCGCGAAACCUUUACAAUGCACGAAAGUGUGAUAAGGGAAUCCAGAGUGCUUAGUUUUACUAGGCUUUUGCCAAGAGUAAAUAUCUUGGAGAAUAAGUGGUGGGAAAGACUGGUGCCAGCCGCCGCGGUAACACCAGCGCCACGAGUGGGAAUCCUUUUUAUUUGGCCUAAAGCGUCCGUAGCUGGUUAUGUAAAUCUCUUGUGAAAUUGUUCUGCUUAACAGAACAGCGUGCAGGAGAGACUGCAUAGCUAGGGACCGGGAGGAGUCAGAGGUAUGCUGUGGGGAGCGGUAAAAUGCUAUAAUCCUCGGUAGACCACCUGUGGCGAAGGCGUCUGACUAGAACGGGUCCGACAGUGAGGGACGAAAGCCAGGGGAGCAAACCGGAUUAGAUACCCUGGUAGUC